GAUGAACGCUGGCGGCGUGCCUAAUACAUGCAAGUCGAGCGAACGGACGAGAAGCUUGCUUCUCUGAUGUUUGCGGCGGACGGGUGAGUAACACGUGGAUAACCUACCUUUAAGACUGGGAUAACUUCGGGAAUCCGGAGCUUAUCCCGGAUGAUAUUUUGAACCGCAUGGUUGAAAAGUGAAAGACGGUCUUGCUGUCACUUAUAGAUGUAUCAGCGCUGCAUUAGCUAGUUGGUCAGGUAACGACUUACCAAGGCAACGAUGCAUAGCCGAACUGAGAGGGUGAUAGCCGACACUGGAACUGGGACACGGUCCAUACUCCUACGGGAGGCAGCAGUAGGGAAUCGUCCGCAAUGGGCGAAAACCUGACGGAGCAAGGCCGCGUGAGUGAUGAAGGUCUUCGGAUCGUAAAACUCUGUUAUUAGGGAAGAACAUAUGUGUAAGUAACUGUGCACAUCUUGACGGUACCUAAUCAGAAAGCCACGGCUAACUACGUG
rnacentral:rRNA from 1 species